UACGUAGGGGGCAAGCGUUGUCCGGAUUUAUUGGGCGUAAAGAGCGUGUAGGCGGCCAUACAGGUCAGCUGUGAAAACUCGAGGCUCAACCUCGAGACGCCGAUGGAAACCAUCGAACUAGAGUCCGGAAGAGGAGAGUGGAAUUCCUGGUGUAGCGGUGAAAUGCGCAGAUAUCAGGAAGAACACCCGUGGCUAAGGCGGCUCUCUAGUACGGUACUGACGCUGAGACGCGAAAGCGUGGGGAGCGAACAGG
rnacentral:rRNA from 1 species